rnacentral:rRNA from 1 species
UACGUAGGUGGCAAGCGUUGUCCGGAAUUAUUGGGCGUAAAGCGCGCGCAGGCGGUCCUUUAAGUCUGAUGUGAAAGCCCACGGCUCAACCGUGGAGGGUCAUUGGAAACUGGGGGACUUGAGUACAGAAGAGAAGAGUGGAAUUCCACGUGUAGCGGUGAAAUGCGUAGAGAUGUGGAGGAACACCAGUGGCGAAGGCGGCUUUCUGGUCCUUAACUGACGCUGAGGCGCGAAAGCAUGGGGAGCGAACGGG